GGUUAAGCGACUAAGCGUACACGGUGGAUGCCCUGGCAGUCAGAGGCGAUGAAGGACGUGCUAAUCUGCGAAAAGCGUCGGUAAGGUGAUAUGAACCGUUAUAACCGGCGAUGUCCGAAUGGGGAAACCCAGUGCAAUUCGUUGCACUAUCGUUAACUGAAUACAUAGGUUAACGAGGCGAACCGGGGGAACUGAAACAUCUAAGUACCCCGAGGAAAAGAAAUCAACCGAGAUUCCCCCAGUAGCGGCGAGCGAACGGGGAGCAGCCCAGAGUCUGAAUCAGCUUGUGUGUUAGUGGAACGGUCUGGAAAGUCCGACGGUACAGGGUGAUAGUCCCGUACACCAAAAUGCACAGGCUGUGAACUCGAAGAGUAGGGCGGGACACGUGGUAUCCUGUCUGAAUAUGGGGGGACCAUCCUCCAAGGCUAAAUACUCCUGACUGACCGAUAGUGAACCAGUACCGUGAGGGAAAGGCGAAAAGAACCCCGGCGAGGGGAGUGAAAAAGAACCUGAAACCGUGUACGUACAAGCAGUGGGAGCACCUUCGGGUGUGACUGCGUACCUUUUGUAUAAUGGGUCAGCGACUUAUAUUCUGUAGCAAGGUUAACCGUAUAGGGGAGCCGCAGGGAAACCGAGUCUUAACUGGGCGUUAAGUUGCAGGGUAUAGACCCGAAACCCGGUGAUCUAGCCAUGGGCAGGUUGAAGGUUGGGUAACACUAACUGGAGGACCGAACCGACUAAUGUUGAAAAAUUAGCGGAUGACUUGUGGCUGGGGGUGAAAGGCCAAUCAAACCGGGAGAUAGCUGGUUCUCCCCGAAAGCUAUUUAGGUAGCGCCUCGUGAACUCAUCUUCGGGGGUAGAGCACUGUUUCGGCUAGGGGGUCAUCCCGACUUACCAACCCGAUGCAAACUACGAAUACCGAAGAAUGUUAUCACGGGAGACACACGGUGGGUGCUAACGUCCGUCGUGAAGAGGGAAACAACCCAGACCGCCAGCUAAGGUCCCAAAGUCAUGGUUAAGUGGGAAACGAUGUGGGAAGGCACAGACAGCCAGGAUGUUGGCUUAGAAGCAGCCAUCAUUUAAAGAAAGCGUAAUAGCUCACUGGUCGAGUCGGCCUGCGCGGAAGAUGUAACGGGGCUAAACCAUGCACCGAAGCUGCGGCAGCGACACUAUGUGUUGUUGGGUAGGGGAGCGUUCUGUAAGCCUGCGAAGGUGACCUGUGAGGGUUGCUGGAGGUAUCAGAAGUGCGAAUGCUGACAUAAGUAACGAUAAAGCGGGUGAAAAGCCCGCUCGCCGGAAGACCAAGGGUUCCUGUCCAACGUUAAUCGGGGCAGGGUGAGUCGACCCCUAAGGCGAGGCCGAAAGGCGUAGUCGAUGGGAAACAGGUUAAUAUUCCUGUACUUGGUGUUACUGCGAAGGGGGGACGGAGAAGGCUAUGUUAGCCGGGCGACGGUUGUCCCGGUUUAAGCAUGUAGGCUGGUUAUCCAGGCAAAUCCGGAUAAUCAAGGCUGAGGUGUGAUGACGAGGCACUACGGUGCUGAAGUAACAAAUGCCCUGCUUCCAGGAAAAGCCUCUAAGCAUCAGGUAACAUCAAAUCGUACCCCAAACCGACACAGGUGGUCAGGUAGAGAAUACCAAGGCGCUUGAGAGAACUCGGGUGAAGGAACUAGGCAAAAUGGUGCCGUAACUUCGGGAGAAGGCACGCUGGUGUGUAGGUGAAGCCCCUGCGGGUGGAGCUGAGACCAGUCGAAGAUACCAGCUGGCUGCAACUGUUUAUUAAAAACACAGCACUGUGCAAACACGAAAGUGGACGUAUACGGUGUGACGCCUGCCCGGUGCCGGAAGGUUAAUUGAUGGGGUUAUCCGUAAGGAGAAGCUCUUGAUCGAAGCCCCGGUAAACGGCGGCCGUAACUAUAACGGUCCUAAGGUAGCGAAAUUCCUUGUCGGGUAAGUUCCGACCUGCACGAAUGGCGUAAUGAUGGCCAGGCUGUCUCCACCCGAGACUCAGUGAAAUUGAACUCGCUGUGAAGAUGCAGUGUACCCGCGGCAAGACGGAAAGACCCCGUGAACCUUUACUAUAGCUUGACACUGAACAUUGAGCCUUGAUGUGUAGGAUAGGUGGGAGGCUUUGAAGCGUGGACGCCAGUCUGCGUGGAGCCAACCUUGAAAUACCACCCUUUAAUGUUUGAUGUUCUAACGUUGGCCCCUUACCGGGGUUGCGGACAGUGUCUGGUGGGUAGUUUGACUGGGGCGGUCUCCUCCCAAAGCGUAACGGAGGAGCACGAAGGUUAGCUAAUCCUGGUCGGACAUCAGGAGGUUAGUGCAAUGGCAUAAGCUAGCUUGACUGCGAGCGUGACGGCGCGAGCAGGUGCGAAAGCAGGUCAUAGUGAUCCGGUGGUUCUGAAUGGAAGGGCCAUCGCUCAACGGAUAAAAGGUACUCCGGGGAUAACAGGCUGAUACCGCCCAAGAGUUCAUAUCGACGGCGGUGUUUGGCACCUCGAUGUCGGCUCAUCACAUCCUGGGGCUGAAGUAGGUCCCAAGGGUAUGGCUGUUCGCCAUUUAAAGUGGUACGCGAGCUGGGUUUAGAACGUCGUGAGACAGUUCGGUCCCUAUCUGCCGUGGGCGCUGGAGAAUUGAGGGGGGCUGCUCCUAGUACGAGAGGACCGGAGUGGACGCAUCACUGGUGUUCGGGUUGUCAUGCCAAUGGCACUGCCCGGUAGCUAAAUGCGGAAGAGAUAAGUGCUGAAAGCAUCUAAGCACGAAACUUGCCCCGAGAUGAGUUCUCCCUGAGACUUUAAGUCUCCUGAAGGAACGUUAAAGACGAUGACGUUGAUAGGCCGGGUGUGUAAGCGCAGCGAUGCGUUGAGCUAACCGGUACUAAUGAACCGUGAGGCUUAACCUU
rnacentral:rRNA from 1 species